rnacentral:rRNA from 1 species
AGCAUAUCAAUAAGCGGAGGAAAAGAAACCAACAGGGAUUGCCUUAGUAACGGCGAGUGAAGCGGCAACAGCUCAAAUUUGAAAGCUGGCUCCUUUGGAGUCCGCGUUGUAAUUUGUAGAGGAUGAUUCGGCAAGGGCUCCCGCCUAAGUCUCCUGGAACGGAGCGUCAUAGAGGGUGAGAAUCCCGUAUGCGGUGGGCUGCCUAAGCCAUGUGAAUCUCCUUCGACGAGUCGAGUUGUUUGGGAAUGCAGCUCUAAAUGGGAGGUAAAUUUCUUCUAAAGCUAAAUACCGGCCAGAGACCGAUAGCGCACAAGUAGAGUGAUCGAAAGAUGAAAAGCACUUUGGAAAGAGAGUUAAAAAGUACGUGAAAUUGUUGAAAGGGAAGCGCUUGCAGCCAGACUUGUCCGCAGUUGCUCAGCCGGUCUCCUGACCGGUGUACUCUUCUGCGGCCAGGCCAGCAUCAGUUCGGGCGGUCGGAUAAAGACCUCGGGAAUGUAGCUCCUCUCGGGGAGUGUUAUAGCCCGGGGUGGAAUGCGGCCAGCCUGGACUGAGGAUCUCGCUUCGGCUAGGAUGCUGGCGUAAUGGCUGUAAGCGGCCCGUCUUGAAACACGGACCAAGGAGUCUAACAUCUAUGCGAGUGUUUGGGUGUCAAACCCAUGCGCGUAAUGAAAGUGAACGGAGGUGGGAACCCUCACGGGUGCACCAUCGACCGAUCCUGAUGUCUUCGGAUGGAUUUGAGUAAGAGCAUAGCUGUUGGGACCCGAAAGAUGGUGAACUAUGCCUGAAUAGGGUGAAGCCAGAGGAAACUCUGGUGGAGGCUCGCAGCGGUUCUGACGUGCAAAUCGAUCGUCAAAUUUGGGUAUAGGGGCGAAAGACUAAUCGAAUCAUCUAGUAGCUGGUUCCUGCCG